rnacentral:misc_RNA from 1 species
CCGAGUUUUCAACUCCCAAACCCCUGUGAACGUUACCUCAAUCGUUGCCUCGGCGGGAUCGCCCCGGCGCCCCCCUCGCGGGGGUCCGGACCCAGGCGCCCGCCGGAGGAACCCCAAACUCUUGUCUGUUUUUAGUCUCUUCUGAGUAAAGCAAAACAAAUAAAUCA